rnacentral:misc_RNA from 1 species
GAUGAAGAACGUAGCGAAAUGCGAUAAGUAGUGUGAAUUGCAGAAUUCAGUGAAUCAUCGAAUCUUUGAACGCACAUUGCGCCCUUUGGUAUUCCAAAGGGCAUGCCUGUUCGAGCGUCAUUUGUACCCUCAAGCUUUGCUUGGUGUUGGGCGUCUUGUCUCCAGUUCGCUGGAGACUCGCCUUAAAGUAAUUGGCAGCCGGCCUACUGGUUUCGGAGCGCAGCACAAGUCGCGCUCUCUUCCAGCCAAGGUCAGCAUCCACAAAGCCUUUUUUCAGCUUUUGACCUCGGAUCAGGUAGGGAUACCCGCUGAACUUAAGCAUAUCAAUAAGCGGAGGA